CCUUAGCGGUAUCCACCAAAGCCAGUAGCAAUCUCAUUAAAGCAGCAACAGCUGCAUGAGGAGCUGAGAGACAGAUGCAUCAGGGACAAACUAGACAUACAGGAGGAAUGGCAGCGUUGGAAAUCUAGAAGGACAUCAACAGAGAGCAACACUGAAAGAGAAUUUGAUUCCUUAAAGGGAGAAAAGGACUCAGGCAAAGGAGGAAGAACAGAAAACUUGAUUUGGGAAGUAAACAGCUGGUUAAGGAAGUGGUGUCUGACAAUGGGAUUUGGAACCCUGGAUCAUGCUUAAAUAUACUGAUGACAGAUGACAGAUACAGGCCAGAUUGACUUGGAUUCCCUGAAAGAAGGAAAGCCAAAAAUUUCCUCUGGAGGGGGCCCAGCUAAGAAGAGAAGGAAAGAAGGUCAAGUGGAGAACCGCUGGACACACUGCUGAGAGACAGAUCUUUUCACUUGGAAACUGUGAUUUAUCCAUCCUUAUUGUAAGAAGAUGGCUGUCCUUGUUCCAAAAGGCUGUCCUCUGUGUGAGGAAUGAUUGUGUGACCAAUGCCAAUGACAAAGCCUCUUCAGUGAGAGCUAUAGCAGUAUAAAAUUCAUUGCUCUAAGAACCAAUUGAACUAAUUUCAGAAC